AUACGUAGGUGGCGAGCGUUAUCCGGAUUUACUGGGUGUAAAGGGCGUGUAGGCGGUUUUGUAAGUCGGAUGUGAAGUUCCCAGGCUUAACUCGGGAGCUGCAUCCGAAGCUACAGAACUUGAGUACUGGAGAGGAUAGUGGAAUUCCUAGUGUAGCGGUAAAAUGCGUAGAUAUUAGGAGGAACAUCAGUGGCGAAGGCGACUAUCUGGACAGUAACUGACGCUGAGGCGCGAAAGCGUGGGGAGC
rnacentral:rRNA from 1 species